GUAGGGUUGUGUGUUGUGAUGGGAGGUGGGGGGAAAGGUGGGGAGGGGGUGCUAAAAAGCUCCCUAUCUUUGGUCUCUUCUUUCCUGUGUAGUUGACUGCAAGGCCCCGGAGCAACAGACGAACAGAGAGACAGCUGGGAACAGAGGAGAAUCCUCGAGAGCAGAUCACAGACACGCACAUGGCCUCCAAUCUGCAUCCAGAUUGAUUUCAUCGCGCAUGCAUGCUUGCAGUUCACCUGGAUGUCUGAGCCACACUGAGAUUUCGGGUGAGCUCGCUAAUCUUUGGGCAACCCUCUUCCCCUCACCUCUGUCCUCAGUGACCCUGACGCCUGCUUGACCCAGAGCACCUCCUGGUCCUACUUCCUCAGCGCCUCAGAGAUGAUGUAAUGACUGUUCUAUGACUGUCCCUCUUCUCCAAGAGGGCUUUAAUUUUGCUACAGUUGAAUAGACAGUGGUCUCAGAAAAAGCUUGCUUUCUAAAGCAGUGAACCAGCCAUCCAGAGAGGGUUGCUGAGCGAUGGCCUUACCUCCCUGGUCCCCCGCCGAGGAUGGUCACAGGGGAGGAUGCUCAUGGCGACCACGGCUGUCAA